rnacentral:rRNA from 1 species
CCAACCUGCCCAGUAGUGGGGGAUAGCCUUGCGAAAGCCGGAUUAAUACCGCAUGAGACCUGAGGGUGAAAGCGGGGGAUCGCAAGACCUCCCGCUAUUGGAGCGGCCGAUAUCAGAUUAGCUAGUUGGUGGGGUAAAGGCCCACCAAGGCAACGAUCUGUAGUUGGUCUGAGAGGACGACCAGCCCCACUGGGACUGAGACACGGCCCAGACUCCUACGGGAGGCAGCAGUGGGGAAUUUUGGACAAUGGGCGCAAGCCUGAUCCAGCAAUGCCGCGUGCAGGAAGAAGGCCUUCGGGUUGUAAACUGCUUUUGUCAGGGAAGAAAUCCUCUGGGUUAAUACCUCCGGGGGAUGACGGUACCUGAAGAAUAAGCACCGGCUAACUACGUGCCCGCAGCCGCGGUAAUACGUAGGGUGCGAGCGUUAAUCGGAAUUACUGGGCGUAAAGCGUGCGCAGGCGGCUUUGCAAGACAGAUGUGAAAUCCCCGGGCUCAACCUGGGAACUGCAUUUGUGACUGCAAGGCUAGAGUACGGUAGAGGGGGAUGGAAUUCCGCGUGUAGCAGUGAAAUGCGUAGAUAUGCGGAGGAACACCAAUGGCGAAGGCAAUCCCCUGACCUGU